GCGGGUAUAACUCAGUUGGUUAGAGUAUCAGAUUGUGGCUUUGAAAGACGGGGGUUCGAGUCCCCUUAUUCGCC
rnacentral:tRNA from 1 species